GAUUGUGGUUUUAAAAGAUGAGUAAUUUAGCAACAUUGUUCUUUCAUAGUAAAAAACAAAAACAACCUCAGAGAAGUAGAAUAUUUCAUAUUGGUUUAGGCCAAGAAAGACUUUGAGAAUAAGAUGUGUAUAGGCUGAACAUAAAUAAGAGUGCUAUUACAGGCAGCACUUCUUUGAUGGCUACCUUUUGGGACCUGCCAUUAGAAAGAAGGGAAGAAUGGGUGGUUUUGCAGGGGUUGUUGUUAGGUGAAAAGAGCAGAGAGCAUUAAUUGUUGAGGACAGUGACUUUUCUUACAGCAUCUAGUCUCAUAUCCUACAUUAGCUCUUAUCUUGAGAGCUCUUUGUAUAUGAUUGUUCACUAGUGGCCUUCCAGCCAUGACAUUCUUACCAUUUUUUUUUCAUUCUUUUAUAAUAUUUACUUUUUUUUUUUUUUUCUUGUACAACUGGUGGGAAGAGGGUGGGAAACAAUUCCAGCAUCCCGAUAUAAUUGUCUUAUCAGCGCCACCGGUAUAAUGGUAUCAUGCAAGAUUCCCAGUAUAAUUGUCUUUUUGGUAUUCCUGUGUUUUAGAUAAUCAUCAGUAUAUUCCCUUCUUAAUUUCAUAAUCCUGUUUACUUUAGUAUUCUUCUUUUGUAGCAGCUUACUCCUUACUUACAUUGAAAUCGCUGAAUAACAUUCCAUGACAUGGAUAUUCAUGUUGUAAACGUGUCACUCUUCCAUGGUUAAACCUUUAAAAUUGCUUCUAAUUUUUAAUGUUCUAAAUAAGACUUUAAAAAUUUCCCAUGUUUUAUUAUUAUUUUAAAAAAGAUUUUAUGUAUUUAUUUACUUGAGAGAGAAAGCAAGAGAGGGUGCUUAUGAGGGAGGAGGAGGAGGGAGAGAAUCUCAAGCAGUUUCCAUGCAGAGUGCAAAGCCCAACCAGGGGCUUGAUCUUACCACUGAAAUCAUGACCUGAGCUGAAAUCAAGAGUUGGAUGUUUAACUGACUGAGCCACCCAGUCGCCCCUAACGUUUUCCACAUUUUAGAUCAUUCCCUUAAUGUUGUCAGAAUGUUACAGUAUUCUUAGAAGUCAGUAGAGUUCUGCUGGGUCUUUGGAGAGCUUUUUUUUUUUUGGAGAGCUUCAAAUGCAUAAGCUGCCCUGCAGGAAAUUCUCUACCAAAGAACUGUAGGCAUUUCUCAAAAGCUGUAGAGUAUUUGUAGCUCAUAUGCUGCAAAACAUUUAUAAAUUAAUUAAUUCAUGAAAUGAUUUUAAUUUGUCUCUUGAGGACUUUAUUUUUUUUUCAUUUUUUUCUGGUUUUAUAAACCCUGUCUUCUUUUCACUUGUAGUCCUUUUGAAUUUUUUAAAAAAUUUAUUUAUUCAUUAAAGACAGAGAGAGAGAAAGAGGCAGAGACACAGGCAGAGGGAGAAGCAGGCUCCCUGCAGGGAGCCCGACGUGGGACUCCAUCUCAGGACUCCAGGAUCACGCCCUGGGCCGAAGGCAGGCACUAAAUCACUGAGCCACCCAGGGAUCCCCCACUUGUAGUCCUUUUGGAUUCCUUAUUAGUUCUUUAAGAAUACCUUAAAAUUGUGUAGGACUUUCCCUUAUUUCCAAGAGGACCUUGUAAUUUAUUUUUUCAGUAGUUGCCUUAAUGUCUUCAAAAUGUGGUCCUUAAAUAUCUCUAGAUAAAUUACCUGGAUUAGAUUCAUCGGAAAGGCCAAUACUCACCACCCCCUCCACCCACAGUCCAAGAAUCUCUCUAAACCAUUGAUUGAUUGAUUGAUUGAAGAUUUUAUUGGUUUAUACGUGAGAGGCAGAGAGAGAGAGGCAGAGACACAGGCAGAGGGAGAAGCAGGCUCUAGGCAGGGAGCCCCGUGCGGGACUCGAUCCUGGCACUCCAGGAUCAUGACUUGAACCAAAGGCAGACGUUCAACUGCUGAGUCACCCAGGUGCCCUAAAACCAUAGAUUUUAGGUACUGACUUCUUACGAUUUGGCUGGAUGACUCUGACAUAAUAUUGUUUUCAAAAGUUGUAUAGAACUUGUCUUUCAGUUACUUUUCUGCACUACCACCCAGUCCCAGCCAGCCGUACAAUGAGUGAAGAUGGAAAAUUUCACCCGGGAAGGUCUCUAAAUGCAACCCUCUGUUUUUGUUUUUAUUCCCCAGUGCUUUAUUAUGAAUAAUUUUAAACAUGACCCAUAAACCUACCAUUGAAAUUAAACAAUUA
rnacentral:lncRNA from 1 species